rnacentral:tRNA from 1 species
GGUCCCAUAGCUCAGUUGGUCAGAGCGUCGUACUAAUAUUAUGGUAUCAUCGUAAUGUUGGUAAUGCGAAGGCCGUGAGUUCAAGCCUCACUGGGACCA